rnacentral:lncRNA from 1 species
UGACUCUCCAAGAAAAUUGGAAUGACUUGUAAUUUAGAACGGAGGGAGUAGUAGACUCGAAAUACAUGACUUAUAAUUUGGAACGGAAGGAGUAGUAGACUCGAGAUACAUAAGUAGGACAUAUGUAUGCAUGAUUUUAAUUAUUCUCCGUCUCCACAGAAACAGAGCGAACAUAUAAAAAAUGUAUAUGUGUACCAAUCGAAUUAAGUAUUAAGCACAUAUGGAACAUAAAAUUUACCAUAAUGCACAAAUAAAGUUCCCACUUAAAUUCUGAACUGACGGAUAUUGCAUCCUGUUGUUUAAAAAAUGGAUGAGGGUUGCUAUUUUCUACACAGCCUGUCUACUUCUGAUUUAAAAUGCAGAAGUAUCGUAGACUUGGGCAACCCUAUUCUCACAGCUUUAUCCGGAAAAAAAAAACCAUUCGCAACUAGCCAUUUGUGGUAUAUGUGACUGAGAUAAUGUAGCUAUGGUUUGUAACCAUACAUAGAG